rnacentral:misc_RNA from 1 species
CGAAGCCCUAAAAGUAUAACGAACUUUGUGGAAGUGGAAGUGAAAGAGGAAGAAGAAAAAAGAGGUUUGUUAUCAGUUGAAGAAGAAGAAGAGGAUGGACGAAGAGCAAGUUGUGAAAUUCGUGGAGACUUAUUUGAAGAAGAAAGGUUUUAAGCAAGCAGAGCUCGCUUUCCAAGAUGAAGUUCAGCACAACUCCAAUGCCAAUUCCGUCGACAUCCAUUCCGAUCCCGAUCUCUCCCUUCUUCUCCUGUCCCUUUCUCAGUCAGAGGAUACUCCAGCACGAUACAAUGACGAAUAUAGUAAACUAAGGUCAUGGACGCAUAGUUCCCUUGAUUUGUACAAGCCUGAAUUGCUUCGUGUGCUUUAUCCAGUAUUUGUACAUUGUUAUAUGGAUCUGGUAGCAAAAGGGCAUAUGCAAGAGGCUAGAACAUUUUUCAACAGCUUUCGUGAAGAUCACGAAAUGAUGCACUUACGUGACCUUCAAAAGUUGGAAGGAGUUCUUUCUCCCUCACACUUGGAGGAAAUGGAAUUUGCUCAUACUCUUAGGCAGAGCAAAGUCAACUUAAAGAUAUGUCAGGUAAUACCUCAGUUUCUCUUAAUUUAUUUUGAAAUAUAUCCAAUUACGAUAUGAGUUGAUGACUCAUGUUUCUGGUAUACUUGGUUUAUCAUACUUGAAUACGUUUGGUUGCAUUGAGAUUCUGCUGGGGCGAGUUACCAUGGGCAGUCUCAAGUACUCCAAUGAGCUUCUGAUGCAGUAUCUACGCAAUACAAAAUCUACUAUGAUGCUUGGGAUUGUUAAUGAGCAUAUUAAUUUCCAAGUAUCUCCUGGACAGCCCAGCUUGAUUUCAGAUGAUGCUGAGGUUGUAACAUUAAUUGGAAGCAGCCAGGAUGCAGCUAAUCAGAUAAAUAAGAAAGAAAUACAUUGGGGGCUGCUUGAAGAUUCUUUGGAGGAGCGCUUAGAGAACGCAGGGCCUUUGCUCUCAGAUUCUGAAAAGACUGAAGGAGAAGCCAAAGAGGGUGACCUGGAUGAAACCAAGAGAAGAUCAAUAGAAGGUGGAAAACAAGGUGCAUCUGUUAAAAAGUUGAAAAAGGACAAAGCUGCUAGUGCAACUGCAAAAGUUGUGCGUCCUGAGACUAAUACUGGAUCAAUGGCACCACGAGUCAAAUCAGAACUUCCCUUGCCAGUAAUCCCAACAGAGGUGGAACAGUCUAUCGUUGAAGACUUGAGAAACCGUGUACAGUUGAGUAGUGCGUCACUGCCAUCUGCUAGCUUUUAUACAUUUAUAAACACUCACAAUGGUUUGAACUGUUCUUCAAUAUCCCAUGAUGGAUCUUUGGUUGCUGGUGGAUUCUCAGACUCCUCAUUGAAGGUUUGGGAUAUGGCUAAACUUGGGCAACAAUCUGGCAAUUCUGUUUUGCAGGGUGAAAAUGAUACCGCUCCGAGUGAACAUGUCCUAGGGCCAAAUGGUGUCAAAAGAUCCUACUCGUUAUUUCAGGGUCAUUCAGGGCCUGUUUAUUCAGCCACAUUUAGUCCUCUCGGGGAUUAUGUUCUUUCCUCUUCAGCAGACACAACGAUUCGAUUAUGGAGCACAAAACUAAAUGCAAAUCUUGUUUGCUACAAGGGUCAUAAUUAUCCAGUAUGGGAUGUUCAGUUUAGUCCUGUAGGACAUUAUUUUGCCAGUGCUUCACAUGAUCGAACAGCAAGGAUUUGGUCCAUGGAUAGAAUACAGCCUUUAAGAAUAAUGGCAGGUCACUUGUCCGAUGUUGAUUGUGUACAAUGGCAUGCCAACUGCAACUAUAUUGCGACCGGCUCAAGUGACAAAACAGUUCGACUCUGGGAUGUACAGAGUGGGGAGUGUGUCAGGAUUUUCAUUGGUCAUAGGAGUAUGAUUCUAUCACUUGCAAUGUCACCUGAUGGCAGGCAUAUGGCAUCUGCCGAUGAAGAUGGCACGAUUAUGAUGUGGGACCUUUCAAGUGGCCGCUGUGUUUUGCCUUUGAUGGGCCACAAUUCAUGCGUGUGGACACUAGCUUUCAGUUGUGAAGGUUCACUGCUUGCAUCUGGCUCUGCUGAUUGUACUGUGAAAUUAUGGGAUGUAACCACAAGCGCAAAAGUAACAACGACCGAAGAAAGCAAAAGUGGAAGCGCAAACAGAUUGAGGUCAUUGAAAACUCUGCCAACAAAAUCGACACCAGUGUAUACAUUAAGGUUUUCUCGGAGGAAUCUUCUGUUUGCUGCUGGUGUCCUUUCAAAAAGUGUGUGAGGUGCUUGCAGCAUUAUCAAGGCAUGACGUGACUGAAGAUGUUGACCAACUAAAGAAGUGCAGAUUGGGAUAGAACAAGGUUAUUAACAUAUUUUUGGUCAUAGUAUUAGCUAAAAUUGGCCCCAAGAAAAUACCUUAGUUCGGCCAACCUUUGUGUAAUCUACUGAGCGCCCUUCUCUUUCUGCCGGGCUGGUUAUCUGCCAUUAUUUUAAUGUAGAAGUAGGUUGCAAGUUUGGAUUCUCUUGUCCCUUACAAAGAAUGUGUUAUUGUAAACUCCAUGGACGGAAACAUUUGCUUUCUAAACCAUUUGAGCAUCCAGCUCAGAUAUUUAACAUCUGUUGGAUUAGAUUUCUUCUAGGGAACCUUUCGCCCAUGACAAAUGAGUUGACUUUUCUUAAUCGAGUACCUAGCUAUCUGCAAAAACUCAGAACAUACGAGAAAGUUGCAGAAAACUUCCCAUAUGAGGAAAGAAGCAUCAUUAUUGUACCUAAUCUAAAGAGUCCUUCACCCCCUCAUAUGCACCCAAAAACAUCACAUCGGAUCAAUCAUCCACACACAUAUACACUAAGAGAAACAACUCCUUCGAAACAACCAAUACAGAAAAUCUGGAAAAAGAAGUAAAAACUUUUCAGAACCCACUUGAGUUACUGUGAAAGUGACCAGAUAAUGUCGACAAUCAUAGCAAAAAGGAGCCACAAGAUAUCCCUUGUGCAAUAGCAACACAAGCAACCCUAUUCCAGCUAAUUAAGAUAGGGUUUUUUGAACCAUAAAAAGGAAAACCCAUUUUUCUAUUGAAAGUUUUGAAGGUAGUAGUAGAUUCAGGUGAAUUACAAAGUCCAAUCAGAAGCAAAUCUAGAACUUGGUACAUAAAACCAUGAGCAGGAAUAAAAAAAAAAUAGAAUGCAUAUUAUGCAGAGAUGAUAAUGAUAAGAGUAAGAAGCCAAAAAAAUGGAGAGAAGGUUUUGCAAGUGAGGACCAUGCUAUAAACUUAGAUAACGUGAAUCACCUCCCUUCCCCAUGCUAUAUUCACUGUUUUGCCGCUAAAUCUGCACAGUAAUCUCGACUACCUCUUAAGCAAACGCCAUCAAAAGCCACGCUUUUGAAGCUAUUAAAUAUAUAAUUUAAUGCAUAAACUUAAAUAAAUUCAAACAAAGGCAAAUACAUAUUCCCUUUUUGGUAAUAAUUAAUAGUUGGCACCAUUUUUUCUCUGUUUGCUCAACCUUCAUAUCCCAUCUUCGUCCUCUUGGAAGCGAAAAAGCUCUUUGAAAACCGAUGACGAAAAAGAAAACAAGAGAGUUAUCAAUCUGGAACAAAAACAGGCCAGGAAUUUAAAUGACCUGAGAGAGAUCAAAUUCCGGCGCUGGAAGCUGACAGAAAGAGAAGUGAGCACACAAAAGCAAAGGUAUAGAUUUAUAC